CUGUAAGCCUGUGAAGGUGGCCUGUGAGGGUUGCUGGAGGUAUCAGAAGUGCGAAUGCUGACAUAAGUAACGAUAAAGCGGGUGAAAAGCCCGCUCGCCGGAAGACCAAGGGUUCCUGUCCAACGUUAAUCGGGGCAGGGUGAGUCGACCCCUAAGGCGAGGCCGAAAGGCGUAGUCGAUGGGAAACGGGUUAAUAUUCCCGUACUUGGUGUUACUGCGAAGGGGGGACGGAGAAGGCUAUGUUGGCCGGGCGACGGUUGUCCCGGUUUAAGCGUGUAGGUGUGUGUUCCAGGUAAAUCCGGUUCACUUUAACACUGAGGCGUGACGACGAGGCACUACGGUGCUGAAGCAACAAAUGCCCUGCUUCCAGGAAAAGCCUCUAAGCAUCAGGUAACAUCAAAUCGUACCCCAAACCGACACAGGUGGUCAGGUAGAGAAUACCAAGGCGCUUGAGAGAACUCGGGUGAAGGAACUAGGCAAAAUGGUGCCGUAACUUCGGGAGAAGGCACGCUGACACGUAGGUGAAGUGAUUUACUCAUGGAGCUGAAGUCAGUCGAAGAUACCAGCUGGCUGCAACUGUUUAUUAAAAACACAGCACUGUGCAAACACGAAAGUGGACGUAUACGGUGUGACGCCUGCCCGGUGCCGGAAGGUUAAUUGAUGGGGUCAGCGCAAGCGAAGCUCCUGAUCGAAGCCCCGGUAAACGGCGGCCGUAACUAUAACGGUCCUAAGGUAGCGAAAUUCCUUGUCGGGUAAGUUCCGACCUGCACGAAUGGCGUAAUGAUGGCCAGGCUGUCUCCACCCGAGACUCAGUGAAAUUGAACUCGCUGUGAAGAUGCAGUGUACCCGCGGCAAGACGGAAAGACCCCGUGAACCUUUACUAUAGCUUGACACUGAACAUUGAGCCUUGAUGUGUAGGAUAGGUGGGAGGCUUUGAAGUGUGGACGCCAGUCUGCAUGGAGCCGGCCUUGAAAUACCACCCUUUAAUGUUUGAUGUUCUAACGUGGACCCGUGAUCCGGGUUGCGGACAGUGUCUGGUGGGUAGUUUGACUGGGGCGGUCUCCUCCUAAAGAGUAACGGAGGAGCACGAAGGUUGGCUAAUCCUGGUCGGACAUCAGGAGGUUAGUGCAAUGGCAUAAGCCAGCUUGACUGCGAGCGUGACGGCGCGAGCAGGUGCGAAAGCAGGUCAUAGUGAUCCGGUGGUUCUGAAUGGAAGGGCCAUCGCUCAACGGAUAAAAGGUACUCCGGGGAUAACAGGCUGAUACCGCCCAAGAGUUCAUAUCGACGGCGGUGUUUGGCACCUCGAUGUCGGCUCAUCACAUCCUGGGGCUGAAGUAGGUCCCAAGGGUAUGGCUGUUCGCCAUUUAAAGUGGUACGCGAGCUGGGUUUAGAACGUCGUGAGACAGUUCGGUCCCUAUCUGCCGUGGGCGCUGGAGAACUGAGGGGGGCUGCUCCUAGUACGAGAGGACCGGAGUGGACGCAUCACUGGUGUUCGGGUUGUCAUGCCAAUGGCACUGCCCGGUAGCUAAAUGCGGAAGAGAUAAGUGCUGAAAGCAUCUAAGCACGAAACUUGCCCCGA
rnacentral:rRNA from 1 species